CACCAACAAGUCACUUCCGGCAGAGCUCAUGGCCACAGUGCAAGUUAAAAAAGAUGGCAGUAGCAGAAUUAGUGAAAGUAUUAAAGUCUUUGAUCUUUCUGAGAAGAGCAUAGAAGAAAUAAUGACAUAAACUGUCCUCUCUCCGCCUCGGCUACCUAAAAGGUAAAGACCCCUGUCUGGUGGACACGUGACUCAUGUGACCUUAUCUAUCGAUAGAGAUGACUCACACUCCUUACCCUGCCCCUUUUGCCUUGUAUACAAUAAAUAGCAGCGCGGUCAGGCAUUCAGGGCCACUACUGGUCUCCGCGUCUAGGUGGUAGUGGUCCCCCUGGCCCAGCUGUCUUUUCUUCUA